ensembl:lncRNA
CAGAUGAAUAUCGGAGCAGGCUGUCAUCCAAACAAGGUGAAGGUCUCUGACCCUGGAGUGGCAAAUACGGGCCUCCAAGCCUUCCAGCCAACAUACUUCACUGUUGACUGCUCAGAGUCUGGUCAAGGACAAAGGCUGUUUGCGUUUAGGCUAUUCCAAUGACAUCCUUCAGGGUCAAAGUGGAUCCUUCUCAAGGCAGAGGGACCAGGACUCAGCCGCAGUGGGUCCCCUGGGAGUUGCGUGACCUACGGUGGAGAUCACAUUCCCAAGAGCCCUUUCAGUGGCAGCGUGGCAGCCAUGCUGGACCUUAGCAAGGUCAAGGUGACAGGCCUGGGAGACAGAGGAAGGUGGAGGAGCAGCUCCAGCAGAGCAACACCAGAGGUGUGUGGAGAGGACCGAACACCAUCACUGGAUGCAGCACUGUGAGCGGAGGGGGUCCAGAGUCUGGAGACCAGGUUCUGGCUAACAGAUUGAACCAGUUGUUUAACAGCUUUCCAUUGCCAUCGAAGCGUUACACCCCUUCUCCUGCACCAGGGCCCAAACAGAGCCCCCUACAUGGUGGGUUCCCAGGGAGCUCUUUACUGAUCGGACAGCAAGCUGCAUGCUUGCGGCUGGCUCAGCUGAAAGCCCACCUUGCGUUGACACAGAUAAAUAACGCUAUUGCUAUUGGUGGCCGAACCAAUACACGCGCCCCAUUUAUAUCCACAACACCCCCCUUUCCUGACAGCUGCAGCCAUCAGUCUACUAAACCUUCUGAAGGUUGCUAACACCAUGUCCCAUCCCUUAUAUAACCUCUAUGCCUCUGGGAAACAAAGUUCAGCCCAGGGGCGCUAUGGACAGUCGAGUAUGCAGGCAGAGAGAGACUCUCAUAAGACAUCUCCUCAUCUUGGGCCUGGGUCCAGCUUUAGCUCUUCUGG